rnacentral:rRNA from 1 species
UAUCAGUACACGCCCUAGCAAGGUGAAACCGCGAACGGCUCAUUACAACAGCUAUAAUCCACUCGAUCUUGAGCAGUUACUCGGAUAACUGUGGUAAUUCUAGAGCUAAUACGUGAAGCAAAGCUGUAUUCAUUCGGAUGCAGCGCAUUUAUUGGAGCAAAACCAGGCGGCUUCGGCCGUUCACUGUUGACUCAGAAUAACUAAGCUGAGCGCAUGGUCUUGUACCGGCGCCGUGUCGUUCGAGUGUCUGCCUUAUCAACUUUCGAUGGUAGUGUAUGUGACUACCAUGGUUGUGACGGGUAACGGGGGAUAAGGGUUCGACUCCGGAGAAGGGGCCUGAGAAAUGGCCACUACGUCCAAGGAUGGCAGCAGGCGCGCAAAUUACCCACUCUCGGUUCGAGGAGGUAGUGACGAAAAAUAACAAGGUGGUUCUCUACGAGGCCCACCAUUGGAAUGGGUACAACUCAAACCCUUUAACGAGUAUCAAUGAGAGGGCAAGUCUGGUGCCAGCAGCCGCGGUAAUUCCAGCUCUCAAAAUGCAUAGAACCAUUGCUGCGGUUAAAAAGCUCGUAGUUGGAUCUGUGCCGGCUCCGUGGUCCACCCUAACAGGCGGCACUGCGUGAGUCGGCUUUGGGCCGGUCUUCGUCCGGGGGCCUUCACUGGUCCGUCGGCCGUGGCUGGCUGGUUUACUUUGAGCAAAUCAGAGUGCUCAGCACAGGCGUUUCGCCGGAAUGUUCGUGCAUGGAAUAAUAGAACAGGAUCACGGUCCUCUUUUAUUGGUUUUGUGGACUGAGAUAAUGGUUAACAGAGACGAACGGGGGCAUUCGUAUUGCUGCGUGAGAGGUGAAAUUCUUGGACCGCAGCAGGACGGACUACAGCGAAAGCAUUUGCCAAGCGCGUCUUCAUUAAUCAAGAACGAAAGUCAGAGGUUCGAAGGCGAUCAGAUACCGCCCUAGUUCUGACCGUAAACGAUGCCAACUAGCGAUCCGCCGGUGGCUACAAGGCCCUGGUGGGGAGCUUCCCGGAAACGAAAGUCUUCCGGUUCCGGGGGAAGUAUGGUUGCAAAGCUGAAACUUAAAGGAAUUGACGGAAGGGCACCACCAGGAGUGGAGCCUGCGGCUUAAUUUGACUCAACACGGGAAAACUCACCCGGCCCGGACACCGUAAGGAUUGACAGAUUGAUAGCUUUUUCAUGAUUCGGUGGUUGGUGGUGCAUGGCCGUUCUUAGUUCGUGGAUCGAUUUGUCUGGUUUAUUCCGAUAACGAGCGAGACUCCAGCCUACUAACUAGUACGAGCAUUGCCUCUGUGCUCGGUACUUCUUAGAGGGAUUGGCUGCGUCUAGCGGCACGAAACGGAGCAAUAACAGGUCUGUGAUGCCCUUAGAUGUCCGGGGCUGCACGCGCGCUACACUGGCAAAGGCAACGUGCUUGUCCGUCUCCGAAAGGAGCCGGUAAACCCUUGAAAAUUUGCCGUGAUUGGGAUCGGAAAUUGCAAUUAUUUUCCGUGAACGAGGAAUUCCUAGUAAGUGCGAGUCAUCAGCUCGCGUUGAUUACGUCCCUGCCCUUUGUACACACCGCCCGUCGCUGCCUAGAACUGAGCCAUUUCGAGAAUAUUCGGGAUCGCCGGUUGAGUGUCUUUCGGGGCAUUCCUCUGGCCAGAGAACGAACGUAAUCGCAAUGGCUUGAACCGGGCAAAAGU